AGUGUUCACACAGUCAGACAUCUCGUCUGUGAUUAUGACCAGGCAUUUUGAGAUUCCCAUUUAGCACCACAGAACUUCCAGACUCUUCAGCCCAUGUCUGAGUGCAGAAGCAAUACUGUACUGCAGAAUCACACUCCAGAGUGGAUCACUGCUGCCUCAACUACUGACCAUGCUGCCACCAGAAGGGUGAUGACCCCUCUGAUAGAGGUUGUUUGUCUGGAAAGGGGCCCCAUGCUGUUGAGGAGUGAGGUAGCACCUCCAACCCUCCACAACUACCACUGCAAGGAAUGUGUGUGAGGUUUGUGGAUUGCCAGCAUGGUCCAGUACUGAUGGGCAGAUUGAGUCUCAAUGAACCACGCUGGCUACCUGGCUGCUGGAAAGCCAGUCUGGAGUGUCACCUCAACAUCCACAGGAACAGAGUGAAAGAUGCCACGAAGCUUAACUGGAGAUGGAAGGGGAAUUUGAAAAUGGCACAUCCCUCUUUCGAAGUAAAUUAUGCAAUCCCACAAUGACAAAACCUAUCUGGGAAACAGACAUGGCAGAGGACUGUAAAGUCAGAUGUGGGAUCCUACACGUCACUGACCAAUCCUUCAAAGUGUAUACAAGAAACAAAGCAAAUAAGAUUUCUGCUCUGACUCACUCAUAUAAUAGGAUGCCUCAAAUGACUCAAUGGUAUACUGUCAAAUGUGUCAUUCCGGAAAGUUUGUACAAAUACUCAUAAUUACCCAGGAACUGAUUAUAAAUUGGCAAACCAAAGGAGACAUCCCAUUCACAGCGUAAUCCUUUUGCAUCCUCCUAGUGUGCAUUUGAAAUUAAUAGGAUAUGAACAGUAAACUUAAAGCCACCUCAGUGGAAUUUACCUAUCAGGUACAGGCCAAAAGAUGUACCUUACAGAUGAAAGAGUGCAUACAAGAAUACUGACAUUUUGCCAA